GAUGAACGCUGGCGGCGUGCCUAAUACAUGCAAGUCGAGCGAACGGACGAGAAGCUUGCUUUUCUGAUGUUAGCGGCGGACGGGUGAGUAACACGUGGAUAACCUACCUAUAAGACUGGGAUAACUUCGGGAAACCGGAGCUAAUACCGGAUAAUAUUUUGAACCGCAUGGUUCAAAAGUGAAAGACGGUCUUGCUGUCACUUAUAGAUGGAUCCGCGCUGCAUUAGCUAGUUGGUAAGGUAACGGCUUACCAAGGCAACAAUGCAUAGCCGACCUGAGAGGGUGAUCGGCCACACUGGAACUGAGACACGGUCCAGACUCCUACGGGAGGCAGCAGUAGGGAAUCUUCCGCAAUGGGCGAAAGCCUGACGGAGCAACGCCGCGUGAGUGAUGAAGGUCUUCGGAUCGUAAAACUCUGUUAUUAGGGAAGAACAUAUGUGUAAGUAACUGUGCACAUCUUGACGGUACCUAAUCAGAAAGCCACGGCUAACUACGUG
rnacentral:rRNA from 1 species